AACAUAUGUACAGGUGUAAAACUGAAUAGAUCACACUCCAAUUGUAUGAAUCAGUUAAGUGUUCAUUAUUUUCUAAUGCAUAGAUUUCUACCUUUGCUUGUUCCGAAUGUUGUUCUAGAUUCAUUUCAUUUGACUACUUCAAAGUUUCUUUUUAUCGUUGUUGUAACAAUUGUUAUUCUCAACAGGGAUGAGUAAUUCUCAACGGGAUGAGUAAAGCUUCUUGAGAUAUUUCUGACCAGACCAUCUAGGUGGUAUAAUAUCUCCAAGUAAAUUGAGGAUGAAGCUAAUAGGGGCAGCUGCUCAGCAUAAGAGGAAGAAAGAUGGAUCAAAUAGUAACUCAGCAAGAACAUCUCUUUCCAACCUUGAGGAUUCUGAGUUUGUCAACAACAGUUUGUUAGCCACCAUGACUGCAGGAGACUUUGAUGACCAUGGUAUUUUAUGUGACUCUGCUCCAUCUUUGUUUUCUCAUUACAUCCAUUGGUAAUUAGUAUUUAACAUUAUAUUUUACUCUCAAACUAAUUUUCUGUUUCUUCUUUGUAAACAAAAAGCAGGAAACAUAUUGUCCCAAAAAAAAAA